AGAGUUUGAUCCUGGCUCAGGACGAACGCUGGCGGCGCGCCUAACACAUGCAAGUCGAACGAGCGAGAGAGAGCUUGCUUCUCGAGCGAGUGGCGAACGGGUGAGUAACGCGUGAGGAACCUGCCUCAAAGAGGGGGACAACAGUUGGAAACGACUGCUAAUACCGCAUAAGCCCACGGUGCCGCAUGGCACAGAGGGAAAAGGAGCAAUCCGCUUUGAGAUGGCCUCGCGUCCGAUUAGCUAGUUGGUGAGGUAAUGGCCCACCAAGGCAACGAUCGGUAGCCGGACUGAGAGGUUGAACGGCCACAUUGGGACUGAGACACGGCCCAGACUCCUACGGGAGGCAGCAGUGGGGAAUAUUGCACAAUGGGGGAAACCCUGAUGCAGCGACGCCGCGUGGAGGAAGAAGGUCUUCGGAUUGUAAACUCCUGUUGUUGGGGAAGAUAAUGACGGUGCCCAACAAGGAAGUGACGGCUAACUACGUGCCAGCAGCCGCGGUAAAACGUAGGUCACAAGCGUUGUCCGGAAUUACUGGGUGUAAAGGGAGCGCAGGCGGGAAGACAAGUUGGAAGUGAAAUCUAUGGGCUCAACCCAUAAACUGCUUUCAAAACUGUUUUUCUUGAGUGGUGCAGAGGUAGGCGGAAUUCCCGGUGUAGCGGUGGAAUGCGUAGAUAUCGGGAGGAACACCAGUGGCGAAGGCGGCCUACUGGGCACCAACUGACGCUGAGGCUCGAAAGUGUGGGUAGCAAACAGGAUUAGAUACCCUGGUAGUCCACACCGUAAACGAUGAUUACUAGGUGUUGGAGGAUUGACCCCUUCAGUGCCGCAGUUAACACAAUAAGUAAUCCACCUGGGGAGUACGACCGCAAGGUUGAAACUCAAAGGAAUUGACGGGGGCCCGCACAAGCAGUGGAGUAUGUGGUUUAAUUCGACGCAACGCGAAGAACCUUACCAAGUCUUGACAUCCCUUGACAGACAUAGAAAUAUGUUUUCUCUUCGGAGCAAGGAGACAGGUGGUGCAUGGUUGUCGUCAGCUCGUGUCGUGAGAUGUUGGGUUAAGUCCCGCAACGAGCGCAACCCUUAUGGUCAGUUACUACGCAAGAGGACUCUGGCCAGACUGCCGUUGACAAAACGGAGGAAGGUGGGGAUGACGUCAAAUCAUCAUGCCCUUUAUGACUUGGGCUACACACGUACUACAAUGGCGUUAAACAAAGAGAAGCAAGACCGCGAGGUGGAGCAAAACUCAGAAACAACGUCCCAGUUCGGACUGCAGGCUGCAACUCGCCUGCACGAAGUCGGAAUUGCUAGUAAUCGUGGAUCAGCAUGCCACGGUGAAUACGUUCCCGGGCCUUGUACUCACCGCCCGUCA
rnacentral:rRNA from 1 species